AGAGAGAGACAUGCGCGCAUAUCAAUAAGCGGAGGAAAAGAAACUAACAAGGAUUCCCCUAGUAACGGCGAGUGAAGCGGGAAGAGCUCAAAUUUGAAAUCUUAAAGGGUUUCCCUUUACGAAUUGCAGUUUAAAGAAGUGUUUUCUGUUGAGGUUUUGGUAAAAGUUCUUUGGAAUAGGACAUCAUAGAGGGUGAGAAUCCCGUAUUUGACCUUUACUUUCAACUUUGUGAUACACUUUCAAAGAGUCGGAUUGUUUGGGAAUGCAGUCCAAAAUGGGUGGUAAAUUUCAUCUAAAGCUAAAUAUUGGCGAGAGACCGAUAGCGAACAAGUACCGUGAGGGAAAGAUGAAAAGAACUUUGAAAAGAGAGUUAAACAGUACGUGAAAUUGUCAAAAGGGAAGCGUUUGACACCAGUGUUGUUUUUCUGAAAAUCAAUUAAAGAACUGUUUAUGCUAAGUUGUUUAGACUUUAUCAGCUAACUGUUUAGUUUUGAGCUUUUCUUUAAUGCACUUUUCAGUUAACAAGUCAACAUCAAUUUCUUUUGCUGUAAAAAAGCUUGAGGAAGGUGGCUUGAGAUUCGUCUUAAGUGUUUAUAGCCUCUUGCCUAUGCAGUCGGAGAGAUUGAGGUCUGCAGCGUAGAUCCUUCGGGGCUAAAUGCAUUUGUGCUAAGUUAUAGCAUUUUAUAGACAACUUGUUGACUAUGAUUUGUCUUGUAGCUUACUCGCUUAUGUUAUUUUACCUACGCUUAGGAUGUUGAAGACUCUACAGAGAUA
rnacentral:rRNA from 1 species